rnacentral:misc_RNA from 1 species
GUGAAUCAUCGAAUCUUUGAACGCAUAUUGCGCUCGAGGCCUCGGCCGAGAGCAUGUCUGCCUCAGCGUCGGCCCACCCCUCGCCACCACUUCCCCCCUUUGAAAUCAAAAGGGAGACUGGAAAGGCGGAGCUGGCCGUCUCGGCUCCUGUUAAAAAGGCAGCCGGGUCGGCUGAAGCACAGAGGCUUGAGCACGGACCCCGUUUGAUGGGCACAGCUUGGUAGGUAGCUCACGCUGCAUGCCGCUGGCGCCCUAGGGGACCUUGCUGUAAAGCCCGCAGGAAGGGGGCCAUUCAAUCGG